CCUACGGGAGGCAGCAGUGGGGAAUAUUGGACAAUGGGGGGAACCCUGAUCCAGCCAUGCCGCGUGUGUGAAGAAGGCCCUCGGGUUGUAAAGCACUUUCAGUGAGGAAGAACGCCUGGUGGUUAAUACCCAUCAGGAAAGACAUCACUCACAGAAGAAGCACCGGCUACUCCGUGCCAGCAGCCGCGGUAAUACGGAGGGUGCGAGCGUUAAUCGGAAUUACUGGGCGUAAAGCGCGCGUAGGUGGCUUGAUAAGCCGGUUGUGAAAGCCCCGGGCUCAACCUGGGAACGGCAUCCGGAACUGUCCAGCUAGAGUGCAGGAGAGGAAGGUAGAAUUCCCGGUGUAGCGGUGAAAUGCGUAGAGAUCGGGAGGAAUACCAGUGGCGAAGGCGGCCUUCUGGACUGACACUGACACUGAGGUGCGAAAGCGUGGGUAGCAAACAGGAUUAGAUACCCUUGUAGUC
rnacentral:rRNA from 1 species